ACCCGCGAAAUCCCGAGGGUGUUAACGCAGGUACACGGCGGCGGCGAGGAGGGGAGCGCCGCUAGACUCGGGCGCGCGAGCCCGGCGCGGCCCGCUGGGAGCACAGGGCCGCGGGCGCGAGCGCGCGGGUGGAGGACGCGUGGCCGGCCCGCUCGGAGCGGCGGAAGCGGCCGAGGUGCGGGGGCGGCCCGCCGUGACGCUGCGGCCCUUUGCGCCCUUCACUGGGGCGGCAGCGACUGGCGCUUCAUCUGCUGCGAGAAAGAAGAGGUGGACCUGCAGGACCUGCCCAGCGCCACCAUGGCCUGCCACCUGAACCCGCGCGUGUUCGUGGACGGCCUGUGCCGGCUUUACAGUAGCCAACUCCUUUUUCUGAUGAAAUUGAAGUUUACUUUAGUAAGCCCUAUGUCAGGGUAACUAUGGAAGAAGCCAGCAAAGGAACACCUUGUUGCCAGAACUACUAACUUCUACCAGUUGAAGGACAGGGUUGCUGAAACCAGUGACAUCUGUGUUCAAGGCCUAUGUCGGAUUACAAUGUUGUUGUAAAGAUUCCCACAGGAGCAACAAACAUUGAAAUUCUUCAGCACAGCUAUUCUGGAAAAACCAUAAAAUGACAGUCACCUUGGUAAACAUUGUUGCCCUUUCUGAUUCCCAAGGGAAUUUUAUUUUAAAUGGAAGUUUUGUUGUAUGUUAAAAAGAGAAAUAAACAUACAAGGAGCUCUUUUUGAAUAUAGUGGAUCAAACAAUUCAAUUUAAAGAAUUAACAAUACUGAUUGGAAGAAGAACUUGUUUUACAGUGUCUUGUUACAUAUGGAAAAGGAUCAAAGCAGUGGCAAGUUUGUUGUCAAUUGAAUGAAGAUCACUUGAGUGAUGGCUUCUGUAAUCCAAGUACCAAACCUAUAUCUCUAAGACCACGUGAGUUUCAUGCAUGUGCUCCUUGGAAAGUAGGAUCAUGGAGGUCUGUGAGUAUAUUUAAAAUUUUGACAUUACUGCUGUGGUAAAUAUUUUAGCUUUGCUUUUGGAUUCAUUUUAGUUACUCAAAGGCUGUAAAUCUUAUGUUUUAUCAUAUUUGAUCAAACUAUAAAUAUUUUCAUGUUCUGUGUCUACAUUGGUAUCUUUACUAUAUUUAGAAUAGGCAUUGUUUAGAAGUUCUGCCGACCAGGCAGCUGGAAAUCUGCAAGAUGAGCAGUGAUCACACUAGACGAGUGUGGGUAGCGUAUUGUCCUGUGAAGAUUGCCAGAGCUGAUGGAAGCCUUUUCACCUCUCCCUUCUUUAUCUCUUUGAAAUGUACUUAAUGUAUUAAGUGAGAUACACCAGGUGGAGUUUGAAAGUAUAUUGUUUCUAUAAUUGUAUUGACUUUGCCUCCAAAAUAUCAGGCAUUUACUGAUAAUUUUACAUGAUGAUUUUUAAAGCUAUAUUAAUAAUAUACAUUUCAUUAACUUCAGUAUUUAGUAAUGUCUACAUAAUAUAUUUAAAUAAGUAUGCAUGUUGAUUGAAUUUAUUAAUUUUAGAUUUUUGAAUGUGGCAUAAAGGGCUUGUACAAAAGAUGUACUGAAAGCAUAUUAUUACCUAUAUAUUUGUUAAGAAAAUUGCAGUUUAUGUAAUUUUUUAAAAGCAAUGUUUUUUUGAUAUCUUUUUAUCUUUAUCUUUCAA